ensembl:lncRNA
UUGAUAGAGUUCAAGGUCAUUCUCAUGUGUGGAUCCAAGAGAGUAGAAUCUCAAAGGGCUGUGCUAACAGGAAGGCCUGUGAUGUUUGCAAUCAAGCCAUUAUGAAGUCAAGAAUGGAGCUUCCAUUUUUAAAGAAUUCAGAGGGGGCAGAUCUUGAUUGACAUCUCAUCUGGGGUCACCUGGUCUUCAAUUGAGAGAUCUUUUGGUUCGCCAUGGAUGCCUCUUGCAGUUAUGGAAGAAAAACCAGGCACAGGGAGUAACUGAGCUCAUUGAAUUAUUUGCUAAGUGGAAGCAAAGCAGUUCUUCAGUCAUGACAGACAAGAUGCCUAUGGAGAUGAUCUGGCUGAACUCUUUAUUGGAAACCAUUUGAAAUUUCUUUGCUUUCCUAAAGGUAUGAAAUUAUUGAGAGAUAUUUCUGAAUAAAUAUGACUUUGUACAAUUUCUUCUUCA